rnacentral:siRNA from 1 species
UGAUGGAUCCAAGAGCUAUAUG